rnacentral:lncRNA from 1 species
UUAAGGUGGCUCGGGCCUAUUCGAAGUUUCUAUCAGAAGUGCCGUAUUUUUAGUUAUUUUAUUCUUUAAAGAAAAUGAAUCAUAUUGGUCGAAAAAAAAUAGGGGGUCACGGACCAUUUAAGCUCAAAAUUUUACUUUUAAACAGGUAUGUAAAAGGGACCAUUUUUCAAUGAAAUGAUAGGGAAAAUAGAGGUGUUGACAUAUUUUUAUCGGAAUAUUAAAAAAACUUUCUAUGACAAUUGGUCCAAAACUGUAAUAUGAAAAG